GUUGUCGUGGCCGAGUGGUUAAGGCGAUGGACUAGAAGUCCAUUGGUGUUGUCCUGCGCAGGUUCAAAUCCUGCCGAGUACG
rnacentral:tRNA from 1 species